UGGAAAAAAACAAACUUUUAAGGCAGAGCGCUGCAACUCGGGCACGUCACGCACGAUUCCACGAAGCGAGUGUUAGCCCCGGAGGCCCGAGCUGGCCGGGGCCGCCCCCCGCAGCCUGGGAGCGCCGGUGCGCAGCCUCAAUUAUCCUUUGAAACGGUCAAGCCUUUCAAAAGUGAGUUCCUAAGUACUCAGACUUCGGCCAGGAUAAGAGAAAGCGCUCAGCACUUCUACUCCGAAAACAAACCAUCAAUCAGUUGACAGGCUUGAAAGGAUUCAGCUCUAGUCUGUUCGGAAGCCAAAGCGUAAAUACAGAAAAGCCUGCUGGCGCGUUUACCGCGCUCUCUUAAGUUUUCGCGUUUUAAAAACACCGCAAGACGCAAACGGCGUUUCCCGUAACUUUCAGGCUCGCUCGGAGGAAAUUCACAGAAAACGCCCGGGCGAGGCACCUCGCUCGGGAAAAUGGAGCCUGUGCCUUUAAGCCAAGGAAAAGAGAGGAAACAGCACGGGAAAGGGAAGGGAAGUAGAAGCUGCCAGAAGCAAAUGCCCGGACCACAGUAAACAAGGGACAGCUGAGGUGGAAGACACACAGGAAUCCGGGGGGAGCCAGCCAGGGCGGGCUGAGGUCAGCCGCCCCUCAGAUGAUACGUCUGCAAAGGAGCUCUGCUGAAACAAGCUGAUUGGAAGAAGCAGGUCAGACAUCACCACAGACCUGGUUUGCCCCACCGAUAGCCUGGUUAAUCAGAGCAAAGCAGGGCCAAGAACUCUGUAGUGGUGCCAGCACGGUCUCUGAGCACAGGGCAGGAGCCAAGCCCUGCUUGCCUAGAAUCGCAGGCUAUUGGCUCCAGACCAACUGAUGGCAAGCUCUAGAGGAAGUCCAUGUGCCGCCAACUGGGUCUAGCUAAGGCCAGCGCUGAAGUAGAAACCUGGGCUUACUUCCUGGAC